rnacentral:rRNA from 1 species
AUUGAACGCUGGCGGAAUGCUUUACACAUGCAAGUCGAGCGGCAGCGCGGGGCAACCUGGCGGCGAGCGGCGAACGGGUGAGUAAUACAUCGGAACGUACCCAGUUGUGGGGGAUAGCCCGGCGAAAGCCGGAUUAAUACCGCAUACGACCUGAGGGUGAAAGGGGGGGAUCGCAAGACCUCUCGCAGUUGGAGCGGCCGAUGGCGGAUUAGCUAGUUGGUGAGGUAAAGGCUCACCAAGGCGACGAUCCGUAGCUGGUCUGAGAGGACGACCAGCCACACUGGAACUGAGACACGGUCCAGACUCCUACGGGAGGCAGCAGUGGGGAAUUUUGGACAAUGGGCGCAAGCCUGAUCCAGCCAUGCCGCGUGAGUGAAGAAGGCCUUCGGGUUGUAAAGGCUCUUUCGGUCCUGGAAGAAAUACGCAUGGGUUAAUACCCUGUGUGGAUGACGGUACCGGAAGUAAGAAGACACCGGCUAACUACGUGCCAGCAGCCGCGGUAA